GACGAACGCUGGCGGCGUGCUUAACACAUGCAAGUCGAACGGAAAGGCCCUGCUUUUGUGGGGUGCUCGAGUGGCGAACGGGUGAGUAACACGUGAGUAACCUGCCCUUGACUUUGGGAUAACUUCAGGAAACUGGGGCUAAUACCGGAUAGGAGCUCCUGCUGCAUGGUGGGGGUUGGAAAGUUUCGGCGGUUGGGGAUGGACUCGCGGCUUAUCAGCUUGUUGGUGGGGUAGUGGCUUACCAAGGCUUUGACGGGUAGCCGGCCUGAGAGGGUGACCGGCCACAUUGGGACUGAGAUACGGCCCAGACUCCUACGGGAGGCAGCAGUGGGGAAUAUUGCACAAUGGGCGGAAGCCUGAUGCAGCAACGCCGCGUGCGGGAUGACGGCCUUCGGGUUGUAAACCGCUUUCGCCUGUGACGAAGCGUGAGUGACGGUAAUGGGUAAAGAAGCACCGGCUAACUACGUGCCAGCAGCCGCGGUGAUACGUAGGGUGCGAGCGUUGUCCGGAUUUAUUGGGCGUAAAAGGGCUCGUAGGUGGUUGAUCGCGUCGGAAGUGUAAUCUUGGGGCUUAACCCUGAGCGUGCUUUCGAUACGGGUUGACUUGAGGAAGUUAGGGGAGAAUGGAAUUCCUGGUGGAGCGGUGGAAUGCGCAGAUAUCAGGAGGAACACCAGUGGCGAAGGCGGUUCUCUGGGCCUUUCCUGACGCUGAGGAGCGAAAGCGUGGGGAGCGAACAGGCUUAGAUACCCUGGUAGUCCACGCUGUAAACGGUGGGUACUAGGUGUGGGGUCCAUUCCACGGGUUCCGUGCCGUAGCUAACGCUUUAAGUACCCCGCCUGGGGAGUACGGCCGCAAGGCUAAAACUCAAAGGAAUUGACGGGGCCCCGCACAAGCGGCGGAGCAUGCGGAUUAAUUCGAUGCAACGCGUAGAACCUUACCUGGGUUUGACAUGGAUCGGGAGUGCUCAGAGAUGGGUGUGCCUCUUUUGGGGUCGGUUCACAGGUGGUGCAUGCCUGUCGUCAGCUCGUGUCGUGAGAUGUUGGGUUAAGUCCCGCAACGAGCGCAACCCUUGUUCACUGUUGCCAGCACGUUAUGGUGGGGACUCAGUGGAGACCGCCGGGGUCAACUCGGAGGAAGGUGGGGAUGACGUCAAGUCCUCAUGCCCCUCAUGUCCAGGGCUUCACGCAUGCUACAAUGGCUGGUACAGAGAGUGGCGAGCCUGUGAGGGUGAGCGAAUCUCGGAAAGCCGGUCUCAGUUCGGAUUGGGGUCUGCAACUCGACCUCAUGAAGUCGGAGUCGCUAGUAAUCGCAGAUCAGCAACGCUGCGGUGAAUACGUUCCCGGGGCU
rnacentral:rRNA from 1 species